rnacentral:lncRNA from 1 species
AGAAGUUCCUACAGUAACACCUUCUGCUAUUAUUAAGGUACUUGAGUUGGACUUUGCAGACACCAAACAAGGUCACAGUGACGUUUCCCAAGAAGAUAUUCAGUUUCUUCAAACCCUGAAUGACAAAAUUAGGCAAAAUGAGCAUGGUCAUCUUGAAAUGCCACUUCCUUUUAAAGCACGCCCACAACUCCCAAACAACAAAGCUCUUGCUCUGGUUCGUCUAAAGCACCUCAAAAGAAAACUGGACAGAGACGCAAAGUUCAAAAGCGACUAUGUAAAGUUCAUGGAUGGAGUUAUCAGAGACGGUGAUGCUGAAAAGCCCAACUCACAGCCAACACCUGGAAACGUGUGGUACAUACCACACCAGGGUGUUUAUCACCCCCGUAAGCCAGACAAAAUCAGGGUGGUGUUUGACUGCUCAGCCAAGUUUAAAGGAAUAGCAAUAAAUGAUCACCUACUAACUGGACCUGAUCUUACAAAUGGCCUAACAGGAGUUCUUUGCCGUUUUCGUAAGCACAACAUUGCAGUCAUGUGUGAUGUUGAAAAGAUGUUUCACAGGUUCCACGUUAGCACAGAGGACAGAGACUAUUUGCGGUUUCUUUGGUGGGAAAAUGGGGACACAGAGUCAGAGCCUCAAGAAUACCGAAUGAAAGUUCAUUUGUUUGGUGCGACAUCAUCCCCUGGCUGUGCCAAUUAUGGCUUGAAGCAUUUGGCUAAAGAAAAUGAGGAAGAGUACCCAUCAGCUGCAAACUUUGUCAAAAAGCAUUUCUACGUAGACGACGGCCUCACAAGUGUAGAAACCAUUGAGGAAGCAAUCAAACUCGUAAAAGAGGCCCAAGCUCUGUGCGCAAAAGGAAAGCUGCAUCUUCAUAAGUUCCUGUCAAACAACCGAGAGGUCCUGGACUCUAUCGAUGCAACAGAAAGAGCUUUGGAGAUAAAACACAUUGACCUUAACUGCAAUGACCUUCCAGUACAAAGAGUUCUUGGCAUAAAAUGGGACAUUGAAAGAGACAACCUGUUCUUCCAAGUGACACUUGAUGAGAAACCAAUGACUAGGCG